rnacentral:tRNA from 1 species
ACUUUUAAAGGAUAACAGCCAUCCGUUGGUCUUAGGACCMAAAAAUUUUGGUGCAWCUCCAAAUAAAAGUA